GUCUGUGGCCAUGCCACCCUGAACAAACCCAAUCCUGAAUGAUCUCAGAAGCUAAGCAGGGUCGGGCCUGGUUAGUACUUGUAUGGGAGACCACCUAGGAAGACUCCGUGCUAUAGGCG
rnacentral:rRNA from 1 species